CCUACGGGUGGCUGCAGUGGGGAAUCUUCCACAAUGGACGAAAGUCUGAUGGAGCAAUACCAUGUGAACGAUGAAGGUCUUUUUGAUUGUAAAGUUCUUUUAUGAGGGAUAACAACUGAUAGUACCUCAUGAAUAAGUGACAGCAAACUAUGUGCCAGCAGCUGCGGUAAUACAUAGGUCGCAAGCAUUAUUCGGAUUUAUUGGGCGUAAAGCAAGCGCAGGCGGAUGUGUAAGUUCUGUGUUAAAAGUAGCUACUUAAUAGUUGUUUGCACCGAAUACUACAUGUCUAGAAUGUGGUAGGAAGUUUUGGAAUUAAACAUGGAGCGGUGGAAUGUGUAGAUAUGUUUAAGAACACCGGAGGCGAAGGCGAAAACUUAGGCCAUAAUUGACGCUUAGGCUUGAAAGUGUGGGGAGCAAAUGGGAUUAGAUACCCCUGUAGUC
rnacentral:rRNA from 1 species